AAAGGAUUCCCUCCUUCAAAAAUGUUAGAAGCUGCUAGUUUAAAUGUAUCUGAGAGAUUUUCCGCUUUGUUCCAAUGAUCUCUUCAGACUGAGGUGCAUGCAUUUCAGUCAAAGGACAAAAAUUCUUGUGCGUCUUGAAACCUUUAACAGCAUUAAAAAAUAAAAGAAAAACACUUGCUGUCAUUUUUUGACCUUUUUUUUCAGUGAGCUUCCGUACAAAUACACAACACCACUUUACCAGUAACAGGCUUGGCCACGUGAGGAAACCCUGGAGCUCGCCUCUUCGCGUCACCGGUACAGCCGGACCGUCAUCCUACAGCCAGUUACAUGGAAGCGCGCCGGAGAACCCUGGGAGUUGUGGGCACCGGGGAUUGUGGGAAAUGUAGUUUGGAGACAUCGCCCUGCUCACCAUUUCUGUAAUGGCUGCUUCCUUGAAGUAGGCGCUGUCACGUGGAAUCUCUUAGCCUCUGCAUCCGGAGCUGCUGGAAGGGAGUCAGAUAGAAUUCAGUACCGCUUUCUUUGAGAUCAUCCUUCAAGAACCAGCCACAUCAUGAUCUCAGUUUCAACACAGUUGUUCCUAGUCCUCUUUUCAUUGCUUUUGGUGCUGCCUGUUGUUGAAGCAGUAGAAGCCGGAGAUGCAAUUGCUCUCUUGUUAGGUGUGAUUCUCAGUAUUACAGGCAU
rnacentral:lncRNA from 1 species